GUCGCACUUCCUGUGGGAACGCCCCCACUGCUCUGCCUGCCGCACUUCCUGUGGGAACGCCCCCACUGCUCUGCCUGCCGCACUUCCUGUGGGAACGCCCCCACUGCUCUGCCUGUUGCACUUCCGGUGGGAACGCCCCCACUACCCUACGUGCCGAACUUCCGGAACCCCAGGAUCUUUCUAAAGGCGCACUGCGCAUGCGUCAGCGCAGGCGCAGCCGUCGAAGUCUGUCGUCUACGCGGCCAGCUAGCAACAGUUUGCUUUGACCUAUACUUUAUCAUUUCUCAGUGUCCUACCCACCGUCUUCGAAUGACCAGAGGCUGCAUGACGGAUCACCUUAAUUUGUAUCUAGCUGUUGCUAAGCUAUCACCAUGGUAUCACGACACCUUGGGCAAACAUAGAUGCCGAAAAUCAAAUGUGUAGGAAGAAAAAUUUGUCCCUGGUCCCCUCACCUCUUCUGUCAUCUGGAUGAGUAGUUCCGUGUUAAAUCUGUUUCACAGCUGCUUCACAGCCAUAACAAAACAAAGCAUGCUUGGAAACCAAAUUAGUGUAUCCCAUAAAACUAUAAUAGAGUC